CCCUUAGAUGUUCUGGGCCGCACGCGCGCUACACUGAUGCAUUCAACGAGUUUCUUCCUGGUCCGAGAGGAAUGGGUAACCUUUUGAAAGUGCAUCGUGAUAGGGAUAGACUAUUGCAAUUAUUGGUCUUCAACGAGGAAUUCCUAGUAGACGUAGUUCAUCAGACUGCAUCGAUUACAUCCCUGUCCUUUGUACACACCGCCCGUCGCUCCUACCGAUUGAAUGCUCAGGUGAGCCAUUCGGACUUUCAUCAUGCUGGUUUCCAGUUUUGAUGAAGGAAAGUCUUGCGAACCUUAUCAUUUAGAGGAAGGAGAAGUCGUAACA
rnacentral:rRNA from 1 species